CCUACGGGUGGCAGCAGUGGGGAAUAUUGGGCAAUGGGCGCAAGCCUGACCCAGCAACGCCGCGUGAAGGAAGAAGGCUUUCGGGUUGUAAACUUCUUUUCUCAGGGACGAAGCAAGUGACGGUACCUGAGGAAUAAGCCACGGCUAACUACGUGCCAGCAGCCGCGGUAAUACGUAGGUGGCAAGCGUUAUCCGGAUUUACUGGGCGUAAAGGGAGCGUAGGCGGCCUGCCAAGUCUGAUGUGAAAUACCGGGGCUCAACCCCGGGGCUGCAUUGGAAACUGGCAGGCUGGAGUGCCGGGGAGGCAGGCGGAAUUCCUAGUGUAGCGGUGAAAUGCGUAGAUAUUAGGAGGAACACCAGUGGCGAAGGCGGCCUGCUGGACGGUGACUGACGCUGAGGCUCGAAAGCGUGGGGAGCAAACAGGAUUAGAUACCCUGGUAGUC
rnacentral:rRNA from 1 species